CGAUUCUAAUGCCAUUUCGCAAAGCCCGACUUGGACAGUCCAAGCCUUUCUAACACGUUUCCAAACGAAACGAAACGAAACGGCCAAGAACAAGUUUGCACAAAAUAAUGAUAAUAAAUAUAAAUAUUAAUUUGAGGGCCAGUCGAGCGGAGGAUGAGUGAAUAUUCCCGGUCUCGGUUCCAUUUCAUCCCGCUUCGGGUUGGGUUUCUAAAAUCGUGAUUCUAAAAUUGUCCAAAAUUAGCCAGAAGAACAAAAAAGAAAAAGAGGAAAGAGUCCACUAGGGGUUCAUUGUUGCCACGAGCUGGAAGCUAUCGAUCGCUCUAUGUGAACAGCAUUCGGUUGACAGGCCAUAAAAUGUGCGCGUUUGAUGUUAAUUCGAUCGUUAAGCGGACUAUAUAUGUAUAUAUAUCCAACUAUGUGUAUAUUGAUCCAGCUUCCAGAGCUUGGGAAUCGCUGUGCAAUUAAUCCUCCGUCUUUUAUUAACACAUAUAUCCGAGCCCAUCAGUCCGGCUCCAGAACCCAUUCGACUAAAUUUAGUGGACUUAGUAUGCAAAUUUCUAAAGCGAUUAUGCCCGAUAAGACGGCACUUAAGACCGCCGUGUGAUUUAAGCUGCUUUCCACAGAUUUAUGGCGGAGAAAUUGGAGAAGAAAGGUGAGUCUGUGCGCUGCUAAUUGAUGGCUUGUAGCAUGUGGUUUGGUCACAAGAUUUGGAAUACGAAAAUUAACUAUUCGAUAUCUAACAUGCAUAUUUGACUUAAAUGGAUGUAACAACAUACCAUGUUCUUGGGAUGCGGCAAUCUUGGUUCCCACCACUUAAAUCAGGCAACAGCGAUCGCUGCGCCAUUAUUAUAACCCCUGAUCCCCCCGAUCGAUGCAGAUUACAAGAUUAGAUAAUGACAAUCAAUAUUUAAUACCGAUGGCACUGCAACAACUUCCGUCAUGAGUCGAGUAAAUUUUGCAUAAUUACAGCUGAUUGCGAGCUGAGGCUUGGGAACAAAUAAAUUGCUACAAGUAACUCGGAGAACAAGCGAAAUCAUUUAAUAAAAUUAAUAAUCCGUAUUGUCCCAGCCAAGCGGCAUGUGCCAAAAAAGGUAACCAAGUCUGAUGGAUGCCAACCAGUUUCGGCUGGCCAAAGCCGAUGCAAAAAAACAAAAAAAUAUAUAUAUAAAUAAUAAAAACCAAAAGUUGCUCUCGACGCCUUUCUGUCUGUGGAAGUGCUAAGACAAAUCAUGGCGAGAAUCAACUGGAGUGGGAAAGAAAGUCGGAACUCUACCAAGAAAGUCCUGAAUCCUCGAACCCAACGAGCAUAAUAAUUCAAAUGGCCCAUAACUAGGCAAUUAAUUGUGCUUUGAUUCUUGUGGGUUUGCUUUUCCAUUCUGACACACGCCAUCGCCAUUUAAGCCAACGCUGCAUACUUGAUUGCCAAUUAAAUUAGUCAAAAGCCAUUAGAAUCGGGCGGAGUGAGACGGAGCAUGCUAGAUGGACCAUUAAUUCACAAUUCAUUCAGACAUUCAUCUCGUGUAAGCCCAACUAAUCUUCCCAGGCGUUUGUUUUUUAAUGACCCACUCGACGCUGAUUGACAGCUGAGUGGGUGAGGAUUUGGGUGGGGUAGGUGUCGGCACUUGAUAACUAUUUUGCACAGCUUAUUAACUGCAAUUAAGUGUUACCAAGACGUCUUAAUCAGCAUUCUAGCAGCUUGUAGGCAUAAAACAAGUCACUUGCGCAUUAGGUCGUUAUAUUCAUGUGGAGCGUGCCGAAUCAAAAUACUAAUCCACACUUUAAAUUACUUGCUAAUAAACUCAAUUCGCAGAAACCAUUUGGAGCGUGUCAAAUGGACAACAACAUUUGAUUUCAAUUAGGAAGAAACCCACAGAUUAUAAGCACACAUUUAUUUAGUAUUAGUAUUAAACUUGAAUAAACCUUAAAUUAAACUUAAAUAAAUUUAAUUUGAUUUCUGAUUAUUAUUUUCAAAUCAACCAGUUAAGUCAAGUUCUCUAGAAAUAGUUUUCAUUCUGCCCAAUCCAAGUAUUAGAUUUCACUGCCCAUUUUGCUGGUGAAUCUGCAAGGGUGGCAUUUUUUGCCACUCGACUCACACUCAAUAAUUUUGAGUGCGGGUGCCACUCACAUCGCGGGUACUUCUCUGCGGUGGCAAUUGGCCACCCCGUUUGUGGGUCAUUUAGGUCAACGCCAAAGAGUAUGCUACAAAUUCUUGGCCCUUUCGUUCCUACCCGGAAAAUAUAUCUCACUCUCUCCGCCGCCGUAUCUAUAACAUAAAUAAUGCUUCAUUUGUCCAGUUCUGUCAACAGCUUUGGUUUCCCGCAUCCGGAAAUGGCAUCUGCUUGUUCCGACCCCGCCACUGGGAAAGAACCCACCCGGUCAAUCCUCGAAAGUCGAAGUGCAGGCCUUGGAUCAGCUGUGCGUGGGUGGCUCUUCUCCGGGAGCCGCUGACAUAUGGAUGUACGCGCUAAUGGCCAAAACCGAUGACAAUGGAUGCUCCCACGCAUCCGCCGGAUGAUUCAUGCGUUUCCACUCGCUUAUGCACACUUAGGAAUCGCAUUCUUGGAUGCUGACUUUGCACAGAGAAAAACUAUGAAACAUUUGCUGGGAUGAUAACCUAAUAUAGUUCGCUUAUUUUCCUUAGUGUACCAAUAGCUUCGAUUGUCCUUGCUGGCUUAUCGUCCCAUCGCAACGAGUGCUGCCAGUGAAAUUGAUAAAUUGUGGAUUUUAAGUGGCUGCGAGCACGAGGGGUUGGGAUAAGGCAUCAAAUUAUGACUUAUGAACACGGAUCCGUCGUCUAAUGCAGCCGCUUGGGGAAUGCAGCAAACGCCACUCGUCUGACAGAAGACAUUUUACCGAAUGCCAAAUUUGGCUCACGCCAUGGCGCCACACCAUCAUCGCACUGUGGAAUGGCCGGCGGAGCGGCAGAUGCCCAGUGGAAUAGGUGGCUGUGUGGCAGCUGGUCCGAUAUGGACAGGUUAGCGCCCGAUAAGGAGCGAGCACGUGUCGCCGGCGUCUCCAGAGGAGCGACAGAAGGCAGAUGUCACCGUGGUCCAAGAUCGGGCUUAAGUGCGCGGAGAUUUCUGCUGAAAUGGCCACUGGACGGACAUCAAUCAGGCAGCAGGCAGUAGUUGCAAUCGCAAUUGGAAGCGGCAUCAACCUGAUCGAUCGACUUGUUUCGGGAUGCAGUGCACGUGCCUGCUGCUUGACCGCUUUCCUCAAUGAGCCGCAAGCCAUGAUCCAUGGGGCCAUGCCAGAUUGUGUUUUCCGUCUAAAUCGCCUGCGAUCGGAUCGCUUGAAUUUACGAGCGCACGCCUCGUUCUCAGAAUUCCGCAGGCUGCCCAGUAAGUUCGAUUCGAAUUACAGACAAUCUUGCCCUGGGAAUUGGACCCGGAAUGGGAAUUGCCAGCCCGACCCUAGACAUCGCUGACAAUUAUUGCUAAGCAAACAUGCAUAAAUUGGCAUUGCGAUUGCCAUGGCCAUUGCCAUUGCCCCCACUGGCAGCAAAUGGAUAAUGGCUAAUGGCCAUGCCCCGUAACUCGACGCCAGCCAGACUGAGUUGUGCUCCCCGAAUCCGAGUCCCAAUCAGACUCUGUAGUGGCCCUUGGCCGCCUGGCACUCACUCUGCACUCCACUUCCUUCCGUGGCCAUCAUGGCAUCGGAAUAGCCAGACUGCCACUCGGACCGCACCGAUUCGGAGCCAUCAGUGUGCCUGAUGCCACCCCAGACGCAGUGUCGUCGCGGAGAGUUGGAGUUCGUGCCUCUGAAACUGAUGCCACACACACGAGCCGAGAACAAUGGCCGGGGAUCCUCUGCUCGAGAGGAGGCGGAGUGGUCAGGAGGAGGUAGCUGACAAUCAGCAGCUGAAAUUCCCGCAGGCUAUUCGAUUUCCACUUUUUGAACUGGUCAACAGCGAUGUCUUCUUAAUGGCUUGGUAUGGAUUUUUCAAACAGGACAUGAGAGUUAAACUCAGCUCUCAUAGAUUUGAUUUAAUCUAAAGAAUCUUGUAGGUUAGUGAAACCAAAAAAGUUGCAGAUCUUCCUUUUUUCUAACAUUUUAUCCAUUUAUUUCAAAUCUUGCCGCCCAAUAUAAAACAAGAGUAAUAGUUUUUUUUUCAUAUAUUUUAAUUUGAUUUCUUCCACUUGCAUUUGUUGCGUUGGUUUUUGUUUUGUUUUUUUUUUUGUUUUUUUCUUCAUCUUUUGGGUAUUCAAAUAUAUCGUAAACUUACAGUUCCAGCCAUACAAGUAGUAUAUAAAGAGUUAUUAUUGUACAUUACAUUAACAUUAAACUUUAAACUUUAAACUUGAUUAAUUUGUAGAAUCGAAAAAGGCCAAAGAGCUGUCUCCCCUUUCCGCCGGUUAGGUGCAUAAUUAGCUGGCGAUAGUUGUAUAAAUAUUAACACAGUUUGGAUAAAAGUUGGUUACGUUUGCAAUUUGAGAUAAGCGGAAUUUCGAGUUGGUUAAGUAGGCUUGAGUUCUAGGGAUGCGCUGGGCUCGUUCAAGUUUCAACUAAGCAAAAAUACUGUUGUGCAAUUCUCAUAGUAGUUGGGUAGGUCCUCAUCCUCGUCCUUUCUAGAGCUUAAAUUUUAAGCAAACAUUAUCAAGUACUUUCGCUAGGACUGCGUUAAGUUCUAAGUACACUUAGCUAAAGCUUAGCUUAGGUUUAGUCAUACUCGUAGUUAUAGUUAUAGUUUAGUUUUUAGAUCAGUUUAGUUUAGCGCAGCGACGAAACACACAUACAGUAGUACAAAUACAAAUACAAAUACAAAACAGGCACACAAACACCAGGCUCUCCGGAUAAAACUCCAUUACUAAAGCUAAAAUAAAUAAAACUUAGGCUACACAAAAAUGGCGACAAUAUGAGUUUCGAUGCUAUGUGUGUGUGUGUGUGUGUCUGAAUACCAUAUAUGUA